rnacentral:tRNA from 1 species
GAGGGCAUAGGUCGGUGGUAGAGCGCAUGCUUAGCAUGCAUGAGGUCCUGGGUUCAAUCCCCAGUACCUCCA